GGGCCCCUAACUGAUAUCACCCAUGAUUGGAGAUAGAAUGUUACACCGGAUGCGAAUAUUCCUGUAUAAAUGACAGAAAGAAGCUCAAAUAUUGAAGUAAUCUUCCAAGCUUGCAAAUCGGACUCUAAUGAAUAGGUGAGAAUUGCUGAUUGAAAGGUUGACAAGAUACACAUCCAAGUGGCCAAUUGCAACGGGUCGAGAUAAUUCUUACAAAUUGGUACCUGUAAAAUAAGCCAUAGGGACCCGCAACAAGUGGCUCC
rnacentral:misc_RNA from 1 species